AUGACAAAGCUGAAAGAGCCCAUUGUAACACACCCACUUGGGCUUUGGGAGUUGCAGACACCCACCCCUAGACACUACUGGUGGCGAAGGUGGAGCCCAAAGCACUUGCCCCAGCUCCUGCAUCUGGCCCGUUUGUGUGCUCCCACUCCCGUAAAAGAUUUGAGCUCCCAGCAGCUGAACAGAGUGCAACACCCCUGUCACAUGUCCUGCAAGAAGCAGGGGCCAGGGAACUCUCCCACCUCAAAGAUUCUGCAAUCUGAGGAUGAAUGCAGCUCAAUGUGUCGUUGGUUUCAUCUGGGGUCUCUCAUGUGUCUACAGUUGUCUGGGGGAUUGACUAAGACUGGAAAAUCCAAAAUGGACUUAUACCUCUUGUGCCUCAUUUUUCACUGGAUCUCCAUAAAUUGUAAAUAUUACAUCUUCUUACAAUUGUAUGUUUUCUUAGUUUCAUUUAAAUGAACUAUCUCAUCUGGGAUACUUUACUUCUUUCUACCCUUAGUAUUCCGAAGCACCCUCUGCAUUGGCCCCAAACCCCAGUAUCAUGGCUGUAUUUAACUGCCCUUUACCUCUCUGUAUCCUUACUUCCCACCCAUCCUACUUUGGCUUCAGCCCCUCCUCUUACCCUUCUGCUAAAACACAGAUUAGAUGUCAGUUGCUUAAGAGCAGACUCUUGUUCGUGGUUUUAUUCCCAGUUUCUGACACAGUGCCUGGAACAGAAUAAGUGAUCAAUAUGCAGCUGUGGAGGAAGUAUGACUAAAUAUCAAAAUCAUGAAUAGAAAGUAAAAAUAAAAAGUGCAUUCCACCCCA
rnacentral:lncRNA from 13 species